rnacentral:rRNA from 1 species
GACGAACGCUGGCGGCGUGCUUAACACAUGCAAGUCGAACGGAAAGGCCCUGCUAUUGUGGCGUGCUCGGGUGGCGACCGGGUGAGUACCCCGUGGGUAACCUGCCCCUGACUUUGGGAUACCUCCAGGAACCUGGGGCUAAUGCCGGAUAGGAGCUCCUGCUGCAUGGUGGGGGUUGGAAAGUUUCGGCGGUUGGGGGUGGACUCGCGGCUUAUCAGCCUGUUGGUGGGGUAGGGGCAUACCAAGGCGUUGGCGGGUAGCCGGCCUGAGGGGGGGACCGGCCACGUUGGGGCUGAGAUACGGCCGAGACGCCUACGGGAGGCAGCAGGGGGGAAGAUUGCACAACGGGCGGAGGCAUGAUGCAGGAGCGCCGCGUGGGGGAUGACGGCCUUCGGGUGGUAAACCACUGACGCCUGUGACGAAGCGGGAAUGACGGUAACGGGUAAAGAAGCACCGGCUAACUACGUG